rnacentral:rRNA from 1 species
AAUAAGUUAAUACCUUAUUGCCGUGAUGUUACCUGCAGAAUAAGCACCGGCUAAUUCCGUGCCAGCAGCCGCGGUAAUACGGAAGGUGCAAGCGUUAAUCGGAAUUACUGGGCGUAAAGCGCGCGUAGGUGGUUUGUUAAGUUGGAUGUGAAAGCCCUGGGCUCAACCUAGGAACUGCAUCCAAAACUAACUCACUAGAGUACGAUAGAGGGAGGUAGAAUUCAUAGUGUAGCGGUGGAAUGCGUAGAUAUUAUGAAGAAUACCAGUGGCGAAGGCGGCCUCCUGGAUCUGUACUGACACUAAGGUGCGAAAGCGUGGGUAGCGAACAGGAUUAGAUACCCUGGUAGUCCACGCCGUAAACGAUGACAACUAGCUGUUGGGAGACAAUGUCUUUCAGUGGCGCAGCUAACGUUUUAAGUUGUCCGCCUGGGGAGUACGGCCGCAAGGCUAAAACUCAAAUGAAUUGACGGGGACCCGCACAAGCGGUGGAGCAUGUGGUUUAAUUCGAUGCAACGCGAAAAACCUUACCUACUCUUGACAUACUUGGAAGCUCUUGUAAUGAGAGUGUGCCUUUUGGAGCCAAGAUACAGGUGCUGCAUGGCUGUCGUCAGCUCGUGUCGUGAGAUGUUCCGUUAAGUCGGAUAACGAGCGCAACCCUUACCCUUAUUUGCCAGCGAUUCGGUCGGGAACUAUAAGGGGACUGCCGGUGAUAAACCGGAGGAAGGUGAGGACGACGUCAAGUCAUCAUGGCCCUUACGAGUAGGGCUACACACGUGCUACAAUGGGGAAUACAGACGGACGCUAAGCCGCGAGGUGGUGCUAAUCCUAUAAAGUUCUUCGUAGUCCGGAUUGGAGUCUGCAACUCGACUCCAUGAAGUCGGAAUCGCUAGUAAUCGCGAAUCAGCAUGUCGCGGUGAAUACGUUCUCGGGUCUUGUACACACCGCCCGUCACACCAUGGAAGUGGAUUGCACCAGAAGUAGAUAGU